rnacentral:lncRNA from 1 species
ACAUCAAAACUCACCGGCUUGAUUUCGAUUGUCGUCUCCGUCGGCGUGCCGCAAAAAUGAUUGGCGAGAGAAAAGACUUGGAGAAAGAUAUUAAUACCAGAUUCAGACCCAAACUUUCGAUUUCAGUAGGAGAACGAAUGAAUUGGGAACAGAAGAAAUAUCUGAUUUCCAUAGCUCACUGAUUUUUUGCAAAAAUUAGGAAAUUUUCUUUUGGAUUCGGUUGAAGCAUAUCUAUCCAGGAAGGGAGACGAUUCUCCAAGCCGAUAAGCCGCUGCGGAGCCGAGAUUUCUUAUACAGAUGUAUAUUUUAAAGUUAUACUUAAAACUACGUAGUUUUACUAAUGGGACAUGGAGUGGGACACAAUUUAUGGUACACUGGAUCUCAUCCGAUAUUCAAGUUUAUGAUAUGAUGUACAUCUUGCCUUUUAUAUAUAAAGAACCAUUCAAUGCAGUUACUUAAUAAUUUCAUGGUUUUUG